rnacentral:rRNA from 1 species
UACGUAGGGGGCUAGCGUUGUCCGGAAUCAUUGGGCGUAAAGAGCGUGUAGGCGGUCCGGUAAGUCCGCUGUGAAAGUCGGGGGCUCAACCCUCGAAUGCCGGUGGAUACUGUCGGGCUAGAGUGCGGAAGAGGCGAGUGGAAUUCCUGGUGUAGCGGUGAAAUGCGCAGAUAUCAGGAAGAACACCAACGGCGAAGGCAGCUCGCUGGGACGGUACUGACGCUGAGACGCGAAAGCGUGGGGAGCGAACAGG